rnacentral:lncRNA from 1 species
AGUACUAGAUUAAGCAGGCGCAUGAUUAAACUCUAGGUGGGACAAAGCGAUGGCACCUCAGCAAAAUGAUUUAGUGGAGGAUGUGUGUUGGUUCCCAGACUUCCCUGAAGACACACCUUAUUCAUUCCUGAGUGCACAUCCUGUAGGCAAUUCCGAGCCAUAGGAGUAGCAGUAAAGGGACAGCAAGUGGAAGCCAGGAACAUGUGAAAUGCAUGGGUUUCUGUGAAACAGCAAUUCCUGCAAACACUUCCAAGACUACAGUUCAGUUGCAGUCUUGCAGAUGACACCUAUGUAGGUCAUAGUGGCUAAUUAUAUAUCUGAGAGCUAUUUUCUUUCCCGGAAAGGUGCGAAUAACUGUGGUUACCUCUCUGAGUUGAAAUGGCAUGAGAUGACAAGAUUUAAUUACACUAAAUACAAGUAAUUUUAACCUUGUUAAGAGCCUACAUGAAAGAUAUAAUAUACAUUGGGACAGUGUAGCAAGUGUAUUUCCAUCAAAGAAGCAUCAAGACUCAAGAAUAUCCUUGACCUUUAUGAACAGAAUGACACUUUUGCCCUCUCCAACUUCUCAUUGUAUAAAUGGCAAAGAGUAAAGAAGAGAAAAGCACCAAGUCUUGUUUUGCUGCUAAUGAAAAGCCUUCUGCCAUAGAAGACAUAUUUGCUGCCUCAGUGGGCCGGUGGCCUUCCUCUAAAUCCAUUGUUGAAGGAUCCUCUUCCAGACUGCUCCUAGCUGGGUAAAGUAUAUUUUACUCUAUGAGUAAUGUAGGUAACAUAUAUAUUUACACAUUGAUAUGUUUUCUGUCCCUCUGGGAAAAUGUGAAACUCAUAAUUAUCCCACUAACGUGAAUUUCUGCUUAACACUUGAAACAAUAAUAAAAGAAAACAGUUUAUUCUAGUGAAAUGUAAA